GUGGAUGUUGAGCCAGUUGACACCAAGUUCCAACUAGCAGACGUCCUGACGAAGGCACUAGGGCAAGACUGUCGCAGAACCUCCCAAGUUAUCGGGCCCACAUGCACCUGUCCUUGUCUCAAAGACCUCAGACGGCUAUGCAUGUGCACCAAACAACUUAACAGGAUCUGUCCGAGUGCCCCGAGGACCCCGGAUAAACGACUUACCGCCAAGAUCGCAGGAUUAAGUAAACACAAAUCACACACCAACAUUUGCAGCGGAAAUAAAUUCUUUAUUGCAAAAUGAUUACAUGUUACAAUAAUUUUACAUUAUACAAUUAUCGGAGUGAUUACAAAAGAAAAUGAUUAAAAAGAAUUACAAUUUAAAAUGUAUAAAAUAUUUAUAAGUUUUAAAAUACAUGCUAGCUUAAGUGACAAUCCUCAAUAGAGAAACUAAAGACGGGAUAUACUUAUAGAAGAAGGCCGAGCCCACCGGCACUUAGCAGCAUCCACAACAGAAUAAAAUUAUAACCUGAAA
rnacentral:lncRNA from 1 species